rnacentral:lncRNA from 1 species
GCUUCACCAAGAUCCAUCUAUGAGUUCAUCUAAGCAACGAGUAACGGGAGAGAGUUUGCAUCUACAUACCACUUGUAGAUCGCGUGCGGAAGCUUGCAAGGUGAUGAUGGAGUCGUACUCGAACGUGAUUCAGAUCACCGAUGUCCAAGUGCUGAACGGACAGCACCUCCGCGUUCAACACACGUACGGGACGAGCGACGUCUCCUCCGUCUUGAUCCAGCAAGGAGGAAGGAGAGGUUGAGGAAGACAACUCCACCGGCAGCACGACGGUGUGGUGAUGGUGGAGAAGCAGUACUCCGACAGGGCUUCGCCGAGCUCUUACGGAGGAGGAGAAGUGUUGGGGAGGGGAGGGGCUGCGCCUUGGAGAUGGGUACAGCAGCCCCCCUCCCUCCCCCCCUUUAUAUAGGCCCCCUGGGGGGGUGGCCGGCCCCUGGAGAUCCAAUCUCCAGGGGGCGGCGGCCAAGGGGGGUGGAGUGCCCCCCAAGCCAGGUGGGGCGCCCCCCCACCCCUAGGGUUUCAACCCUAGGCGCAAGGGGUGGGCCUAGGGGGCGCACCAGCCCCCUGUGGGCUGGUUCCCUUCCCCCUUUGGCCCAUGGGGCCCUCCGGGAUAGGUGGCCCCACCCGGUGGACCCCCGGAACCCUUCCGGUGGUCCCGGUACUUUACCGGGAGACCCCGAAACUUUCCCGAUGGCCGAAUCACCACUUCCUAUAUAUUAUUCUUUACCUCCGGACCCUUCCGGAACUCCUCGUGACGUCCGGGAUCUCAUCCGGGACUCCGAACAACAUUCGGUAGUCACAUACUGGACUUCCUACUAACCCUAGCGUCACCGAACCUUAAGUGUGUAGACCCUACGGGUUCGGGAGACACGCAGACAUGACCGAGACGACUCUCGGGCAAUAACCAACAGCGGGGUCUGGAUACCCAUGUUGGCUCCCACAUGCUCCUCGAUGAUUUCAUCGGUUGAACCACGAUGUCGAGGAUUCGAUCAAACCCUGUAUGCAAUUCCCUUUGUCAAUCGGUACGUUACUUGCCCGAGACUCGAUCGUCGGUAUCCCAAUACCUUGUUCAAUCUCGUUACCGGCAAGUCACUUUACUCGUACCGUAAUGCAUGAUCCCGUGGCCAACACCUUGGUCAACUUGAGCUCAUUAUGAUGAUGCAUUACCGAGUGGGCCCAGAGAUACCUCUCCGUCAUACGGAGUGACAAAUCCCAGUCUCGAUCCGUGUCAACCCAACAGAUACUUUCGGAGAUACCUGUAAUGCACCUUUAUAGUCACCCAGUUACGUUGUGACGUUUGAUACACCCAAGGCACUCCUACGGUAACCGGGAGUUACACGAUCUCAUGGUCGAAGGAAGAGAUACUUGACAUUCGCAAAGCUCUAGCAAACGAACUACACGAUCUUUUAUGCUAUGCUUAGGAUUGGGUCUUGUCCAUCACAUCAUUCUCCUAAUGAUGUGAUCUCGUUAUCAACGACAUCCAAUGUCCAUAGUCAGGAAACCAUGACUAUCUAUUGAUCACAACGAGCUAGUCAACUAGAGGCUCACUAGGGACAUUUGUGGUCUUCGUGUUCACACGUGUAUUACGAUUUCCGGAUAAUACAGUUAUAGCAUGAACAAAAGACAAUUAUCAUGAACAUUGAAAUAUAAUAAUACUUUUAUUAUUGCCUCUAGGGCAUAUUUCCAACAGUCUCCCACUUGCACUAGAGUCACCAAUCUAGUUACAUUGUGAUGAAUCGAACACCCAUAGAGUUCUGGUGUUGAUCAUGUUUUGCACGCGAGAGAGGUUUAGUCAACGGAUCUGCGACAUUCAGAUCCGUGUGUACUUUGCAAAUCUCUAUGUCUCCAUCUUGAACAUUUUCACGGAUGGAGUUGAAACGACGCUUGAUGUGCCUGGUCUUCUUGUGAAACCUGGGCUCCUUGGCAAGGGCAAUAGCUCCAGUGUUGUCACAGAAGAGUUUGAUCGGCCCCGACGCGUUGGGUAUGACUCCAAGGUCGGUGAUGAACUCCUUCACCCAAAUCGCUUCAUGCCCUGCCUCCGAGGCUGCCAUGUACUCCGCUUCACACGUAGAUCCCGCCACGACGCUCUGUUUGCAGCUGCACCAGCUUACUGCUCCACCAUUCAACAUAUACACGUAUCCGGUUUGUGACUUAGAGUCAUCCAGAUCUGAGUCGAAGCUAGCGUCGACGUAACCCUUUACGACGAGCUCUUCGUCCCCUCCAUAAACGAGAAACAUGUCCUUCGUCCUUUUUAGGUACUUCAGGAUAUUCUUGACCGCUGUCCAGUGUUCCUUGCCGGGAUUACUUUGGUAUCUUGCAACCAAACUUACGGCAAGGUUUACAUCGGGUCUGGUACACAGCAUGGCAUACAUAAUAGAUCCUAUGGCUGAAGCAUAGGGGAUGACACUCAUCUCUUCUUUAUCUUUUGCCGUGGUCGGUGACUGAGCUGAGCUCAAUUUCACACCUUGUAACAUAGGCAAGAACCCCUUCUUGGACUGAUCCAUUUUGAACCUCUUCAAAAUCUUAUCAAGGUAUGUGCUUUGUGAAAGACCUAUGAGGCGUCUCGAUCUAUCUCUAUAGAUUUUGAUGCCUAAUAUAUAAGCAGCUUCUCCAAGGUCCUUCAUUGAAAAACACUUGUUCAAGUAGGCCUUAAUGCUGUCCAGGAGUUUCGUAUCAUUUCCCAUCAAGAGUAUGUCAUCUACAUAUAACAGGAGAAAUGCUACAGAGCUCCCACUCACUUUCUUGUAAACACAGGCUUCUCCAUAAGUCUGCAUAAACCCAAACGCUUUGAUCAUCUCAUCAAAGCGAAUGUUCCAACUCCGAGAUGCUUGCACCAGCCCAUAAAUGGAUCGCUGGAGCUUGCAUACUUUGUUAGCGUUCUGAGGAUCGACAAAACCUUCCGGCUGCAUCAUAUACAGCUCUUCCUUAAGAUGUCCGUUAAGGAAUGCCGUUUUGACGUCCAUCUGCCAUAUCUCAUAAUCAUAGUAUGCGGCAAUUGCUAACAUGAUUCGGACGGACUUAAGCUUCGCUACGGGAGAGAAUGUCUCGUCGUAGUCAAUCCCUUGAACUUGUCGAUAACCCUUAGCGACAAGUCGAGCUUUAUAAAUGGUAACAUUACCAUCCGCGUCCGUCUUCUUCUUAAAAAUCCAUUUGUUUUCUAUCGCUCGCCGAUCAUCGGGCAAGUCUGUCAAAGUCCAUACUUUGUUUUCAUACAUGGAUUCUAUCUCGGAUUUCAUGGCCUCAAGCCAUUUGUUGGAAUCCGGGCCCGCCAUCGCUUCUUCAUAGUUCGAAGGUUCAUUGUUGUCUAACAACAUGAUUUCCAUGACAGGGUUGCCGUACCACUCUGGUGCGGAACGUGUCCUUGUGGACCUUCGAAGUUCAGUAGCAACUUGAUCCGAAGUACCUUGAUCAUCAUCAUUGUUUUCCUCUUCAGUUGGUGUGGGCAUCACAGGAACGGUUUCCUGCGCUGCACCACCUUCCCGUUCGAGAGGUAGUACUUCAUCGAGUUCUACUUUCCUCCCACUUACUUCUUUCGAGAGAAACUCUUUUUCCAGAAAGCAUCCGUCCUUGGCAACAAAGAUCUUGCCUUCGGAUCUUAAGUAGAAGGUAUACCCGACAGUUUCCUUAGGGUAUCCUAUGAAUACGCAUUUUUCCGACUUGGGUUCGAGCUUUUCAGGUUGAAGUUUCUUGACAUAAGCAUCGCAUCCCCAAACUUUUAGAAACGACAGCUUAGGUUUCUUCCCAAACCAUAAUUCAUACGGUGUCGUCUCAACGGAUUUAGACGGCGCCCUAUUUAAAGUGAAUGUAGCUGUCUCUAGAGCGUAUCCCCAAAAUGAUAGCGGUAUAUCGGUACGAGACAUCAUAGACCGCACCAUAUCCAAUAGAGUGCGAUUACGACGUUCGGACACACCGUUUCGCUGAGGUGUUCCAGGCGGCGUGAGUUGUGAAACGAUUCCACAAUUCCUUAAGUGUGUGCCAAACUCGUGACUUAAGUAUUCUCCCCCACGAUCUGAUCGUAGGAACUUUAUCUUUCGGUCACGUUGAUUCUCUACUUCACUCUGAAAUUCCUUGAACUUUUCAAAGGUCUCAGACUUGUGUUUCAUUAAGUAGACAUACCCAUAUCUACUUAAGUCAUCAGUGAGAGUGAGAACAUAACGAUAUCCUCCGCGAGCCUCAACGCUCAUUGGACCGCACAUAUCAGUAUGUAUGAUUUCCAACAAGUUGGUUGCUCGCUCCAUUGUUCCGGAGAACGGAGUCUUGGUCAUUUUGCCCAAGAGGCAUGGUUCACAUGUGUCAAACGAUUCAUAAUCAAGAGACUCUAAAAGUCCAUCAGCAUGGAGCUUCUUCAUGCGCUUGACACCAAUGUGACCAAGGCGGCAGUGCCACAAGUAUGUGGGACUAUCGUUAUCAACUUUACAUCUUUUGGCAUUCACACUAUGAACAUGUGUAAUAUUACGCUCGAGAUUCAUUAAGAAUAAACCAUUGACCAUUGGAGCAUGACCAUAAAACAUAUCUCUCAUAUAAAUCGAACAACCAUUAUUCUCAGACUUAAAUGAGUAGCCAUCUCGUAUCAAACGAGAUCCAGAUACAAUGUUCAUGCUCAAACUUGGCACUAAAUAACAAUUAUUAAGGUUCAAAACUAAUCCCGUAGGUAAAUGUAGAGGCAGCGUGCCGACGGCGAUCACAUCGACUCUGGAACCAUUCCCGACACGCAUCGUCACCUCGUCCUUCGCCAGUCUCCGUUUAUUCCGUAGCUCCUGCUGUGAGUUACAAAUAUGAGCAACGGCACCGGUAUCAAAUACCCAGGAGUUACUACGAGUACUGGUAAGGUACACAUCAAUUACAUGUAUAUCAAAUAUACCUUUGGUGUUGCCGGCCUUCUUAUCCGCUAAGUAUUUGGGGCAGUUCCGCUUCCAGUGACCCUUCCCCUUGUAAUAAAAGCACUCAGUCUCAGGCUUGGGUCCAUUCUUUGACUUCUUCCCGGCAACAGGCUUACCGGGCGCGGCAACAUCUUUGCCGUCCUUCUUGAAGUUCUUUUUACCCUUGCCCUUCUUGAACUUAGUGGUCUUAUUGACCAUCAACACUUGAUGUUCUUUCUUGAUUUCAGCCUCUGCUGACUUCAGCAUCGAGAACACUUCAGGAAUGGUCUUUUCCAUCCCCUGCAUGUUGUAGUUCAUCACAAAGCUCUUGUAGCUUGGUGGGAGCGACUGGAGGAUUCUGUCAAUGACCGCCUCAUCUGGGAGGUUAAUGUUCAACUGGGUCAUACGAGCGUGCAAUCCAGACAUCUUCAGGAUGUGCUCACUGACAGAACUGUUCUCCUCCAUCUUACAACUGUAGAACUUGUCGGAGACAUCAUAUCUCUCGACCCGGGCAUGAGCUUGGAAAACUAGUUUCAGCUCUUCGAACAUCUCAUAUGCUCCGUGAUGCUCAAAACGCUUUUGGAGCCCCGGUUCUAAGCUGUAGAGCAUGCCGCACUGAACGAGGGAGUAAUCAUCAGCACAAGAUUGCCAAGCGUUCAUAACGUCUUGGUUCUCUGGGACGGGAGCGUCACCUAGCGGUUCGUCUAGGACAUAUUGCUUCCUGGCAGCUAUGAGGAUGAUCCUCAGGUUCCGGACCCAGUCCGUAUAGUUGUUGCCAUCAUCUUUCAGCUUGGUUUUCUCUAGGAACGCGUUGAAGUUCAUGUUGACAUUAGCGUUGGCCAUUGAUCUACAAGACAUAUUUGCAAAGGUUUUUAGACUAAGUUCAUGAUAAUAAAGUUCUAAUCAAAUUAUGAACUCCCACUUAGAUUAGACAUCCCUCUAGUCAUCUAAGUGUUACACGAUCCGAGUCGACUAGCCCGUGUCCGAUCAUCACGUGAGACGGACUAGUCAUCAUCGGUGAACAUCUUCAUGUUGAUCAUAUCUUCCAUACGACUCGUGUUCGACCUUUCGGUCUCCGUGUUCCGAGGCCAUGUCUGCACAUGCUAGGCUCGUCAAGUUAACCCUAAGUGUUUUCGCUGUGUAAAACUGUCUUACACCCGUUGUAUGUGAACGUAAGAAUCCAUCACACCCGAUCAUCACGUGGUGCUUAGAAGCAACGAACUGUAGCAACGGUGCACAGUUAGGGGAGAACACUUCUUGAAAUUUUGUAAGGGAUCAUCUUAUUUACUACCGUCGUCCUAAGUAAACAAGAUGCAUAAACAUAAUAAACAUCACAUGCAAUUAUAUAGUUGUGACAUGAUAUGGCCAAUAUCAUCAAGCUCCAUUGAUCUCCAUCUUCGGGGCUCCAUGAUCAUCUUGUCACCGGCUUGACACCAUGAUCUCCAUCAUCAUGAUCUCCAUCAUCGUGUCUUCAUGAAGUUGUCAUGCCAACGACUACUUCUACUUCUAUGACUAACGCGUUUAGUAAUGAAGUAAAGCAGUUUACAUGGCGUUCUUCAAUGACACGCAGGUCAUACAAAAAAUAAAGACAACUCCUAUGGCUCCUGCCGGUUGUCAUACUCAUCGACAUGCAAGUCGUGAAUCCUAUUACAAGAACAUGAUCUCAUACAUCACAAUUCAUCAUUCAUCACAACUUCUGGCCAUAUCACAUCACAUGAUCAAUCGCUGCAAAAACAAGUUAGACGUCCUCUAAUUGUUGUUGCAUCUUUUACGUGGCUGCGAUUGGGUUCUAGCAAGAACGUUUUCUUACCUACGAAUCACCACAACGUGAUUUUGUCAACUUCUAUUUACCCUUCAUAAGGGCCUUGUUCAUCGAAUCCGCUCCAACUAAAGUGGGAGAGACAGACACCCGCCAGCCACCUUAUGCAACUAGUGCAUGUCAGUCGGUGGAACCGGUCUCACGUAAGCGUACGUGUAAGGUUGGUCCGGGCCGCUUCAUCCCACAAUACCGUUGAGCAAGAAAAGACUAGUAGAGGCAAGUAAGAUGAGAAGAUCAACGCCCACAACCAAUUGUGUUCUACUCGUGCAUUAGAGAACUACGCAUAGACCUAGCUCAUGAUGCCACUGUUGGGGAACGUUGCAGAAAAUUAAAAUUUUUCCUACGUCUUCACCAAGAUCCAUCUAUGAGUUCAUCUAAGCAAUGAGUAACGGGAGAGAGUUUGCAUCUACAUACCACUUGUAGAUCGCAUGCGGAAGCUUGCAAGGUGAUGAUGGAGUCGUACUCGAACGUGAUUCAGAUCACCGAUGUCCAAGUGCUGAACGGACAGCACCUCCGCGUUCAACACACGUACGGGACGAGCGACGUCUCCUCCGUCUUGAUCCAGCAAGGAGGAAGGAGAGGUUGAGGAAGACAACUCCACUGGCAGCACGACGGCGUGGUGAUGGUGGAGAAGCAGUACUCCGACAGGGCUUCGCCGAGCUCUUACGGAGGAGGAGAAGUGUUGGGGAGGGGAGGGGCUGCGCCUUGGAGAUGGGUACAGCAGCCCCCCUCCCUCCCCCCCUUUAUAUAGGCCCCCUGGGGGGGGGUGGCCGGCCCCUGGAGAUCCAAUCUCCAGGGGGGGCGGCGGCCAAGGGGGGUGGAGUGCCCCCCAAGCCAGGUGGGGCGCCCCCCACCCCUAGGGUUUCAACCCUAGGCGCAGGGGGUGGGCCUAGGGGGGCGCACCAGCCCCCUGUGGGCUGGUUCCCUUCCCCCUUUGGCCCAUGGGGCCCUCCGGGAUAGGUGGCCCCACCCGGUGGACCCCCGGGACCCUUCCGGUGGUCCCGGUACUUUACCGGGAGACCCCGAAACUUUCCCGAUGGCCGAAUCACCACUUCCUAUAUAUUAUUCUUUACCUCCGGACCCUUCCGGAACUCCUCGUGACGUCCAGGAUCUCAUCCGGGACUCCGAAAAACAUUCGGUAGUCACAUACUUGACUUCCUACUAACCCUAGCGUCACCGAACCUUAAGUGUGUAGACCCUACGGGUUCGGGAGACACGCAGACAUGACCGAGACGACUCUCGGGCAAUAACCAACAGCGGGGUCUGGAUACCCAUGUUGGCUCCCACAUGCUCCUCGAUGAUUUCAUCGGUUGAACCACGAUGUCGAGGAUUCGAUCAAACCCUGUAUGCAAUUCCCUUUGUCAAUCGGUACGUUACUUGCCCGAGACUCGAUCGUCGGUAUCCCAAUACCUUGUUCAGUCUCGUUACCGGCAAGUCACUUUACUCGUACCGUAAUGCAUGAUCCCGUGGCCAACACCUUGGUCAACUUGAGCUCAUUAUGAUGAUGCAUUACCGAGUGGGCCCAGAGAUACCUCUCCGUCAUACGGAGUGACAAAUCCCAGUCUCGAUCCGUGUCAACCCAACAGAUACUUU